UCGCGAAAAAUCAGUCCGCCAUUUCCCUCCUUCGCGAAAUUUUCAGACCAUUAAUUCAUUCCAUCUCCAUGUCGCAUUUCAGUCGCCGUCGCCGCCGCUCACUGCUGAAAAACGUUGGUCGGAAAGUGGAUAUAUAUAGGUUCCCUACUCAAACUCCAUCGCCGCCGCACCCGCUACUCAGACUCCGUCGGUUUUCUCGUCGCCGUCGACGUCGUUGCUGUUUCUCGUCGCCCGUGCCUUAUCUGCUACAGUUAUCAAGGGAAUAUCAGCAUAAAAGGGGAUUGAGGCUACAAAAAAUGGAUUAUCAACGACGUAGAAGGGAAUUGAAGCUGCUGAUGAAGAGAGUGAAACAGCUCUGAGCUUCAGAGCAUUAGCACAAGCUGGCGGUGGUGAGCUUCGGCGGUGGUCCUCUUAUUCUUGGAUUUCUCGUAAGCUGCAACCAAUUUCUUAAAACCACGGGCAUGUUCUGUUGUUGGCAACUCAACCAUUUCAUCUGCUAAGGUAUGCUGUUCUUGUAUCUGCUCUUUCUUUUCAGCCUUUCAGGUGCCAUUAUUUGUUCCACAUCUCUUCAUUUCUUUUAUUUUUAUUCAUCCUUUCCACUUUUGGGGAGGCUAAAAAUUGGUCAUAUGUUCAUAUGAUAACAAUUUUUCUUGUACAUGACUUUUUUUAGUAAAAGGCUGAGGUUAUGAGAAGCAAGUGUAUGAAAAUGAUGGAGACUUGGAGAGUAGUUGUUAAUGUAUGCAGCACUGUGUUUUCUUAUAUGCAUGAUUUUAGUUUGUUUAUCAAAUGAGGUUUAGAUGAUCAAGAAUAUUUUCAACUUUGUGUUAACACGCAUAUGGCGGUGAAUCCAAAGCCGGCGGUGGCGGGGAAUCCGAAGCUACUCUCUAUUGAGGUGGCGGAAGGAGUGGGCAUAGCGAGGAGGCCAUUUCUGCGCUCUACACUCCAUUUGUGUUCUGUUUGGCUUCUAGAAAUCUCAACAUCCAGAGUAGGACGCUCAUUUCCUCAAGGCCUUCGCUAAGCGUUUGAGUUAGCAGAAGAAUGUGACGAUGAUGCAAAGAUUGGGAUUGGUGAAUUACGAAAGGAUGUCCUGGAGGAAUUAAAAAUGCAUGAUUCUUUUGUCCAAGCUAGUUAUUACAAAUCAGAGGUCCUUCCACUUCUGAAGCUGAAUAAAGUGAUGUACUUCACUCACACUGAUUCCAGAAUAAGAUGUUUGUAUGUAAGGUUCUUUGGCUUUUGUGCACUUUGCUUAUUCGACCACUCUAGUGGUUAUUUUCAUUAUGUUUGGAUUUGUUAAUUUUUAGUGGUUAUUUUAUUCUUUAGAAUGUAUAUUUUAAUUAAUAAAGUAGUUCAUUUAUGUAUUUUGAAAUAUUAUGAUUUGGUUAGAUUAUUGUGUUUGUGUAAAAAAAAAAUUAGACAAUUAAUGUACAAAUUUUAUUGGUA